UACGUAGGGGCCUAGCGUUGUCCGGAAUUAUUGGGCGUAAAGAGCUCGUAGGCGGUUCGGCAAGUCGGAUGUGAAAUCUCCACGCUUAACGUGGAGGGGCCAUUCGAAACUGCUGUGACUCGAGUCCGGUAGGGGAGUGUGGAAUUCCCGGUGUAGCGGUGAAAUGCGCAGAUAUCAGGAGGAACACCGGUGGCGAAGGCGGGUCUCUGGGCCGAUACUGACGCUGAGGAGCGAAAGCGUGGGGAGCGAACAGG
rnacentral:rRNA from 1 species